rnacentral:rRNA from 1 species
GAUGAACGCUGGCGGCGUGCCUAAUACAUGCAAGUCGAGCGAACAGAUAAGGAGCUUGCUCCUUUGACGUUAGCGGCGGACGGGUGAGUAACACGUGGGUAACCUACCUAUAAGACUGGAAUAACUCCGGGAAACCGGGGCUAAUGCCGGAUAACAUUUAGAACCGCAUGGUUCUAAAGUGAAAGAUGGUUUUGCUAUCACUUAUAGAUGGACCCGCGCCGUAUUAGCUAGUUGGUAAGGUAACGGCUUACCAAGGCAACGAUACGUAGCCGACCUGAGAGGGUGAUCGGCCACACUGGAACUGAGACACGGUCCAGGCUCCUACGGGAGGCAGCAGUAGGGAAUCUUCCGCAAUGGGCGAAAGCCUGACGGAGCAACGCCGCGUGAGUGAUGAAGGUCUUCGGAUCGUAAAACUCUGUUAUUAGGGAAGAACAAAUGUGUAAGUAACUGUGCACGUCUUGACGGUACCUAAUCAGAAAGCCACGGCUAACUACGUG